UUGUUGGGGUUGUAGGACUCCAAUAUGGUAGUCUGUUAGUAUAGUUGAAGGAUUUGGAAAAUUCCGCUAAAGAGGGUGAAAGCCCCGUAGACGAAAUGCUGACAACACCUAGGAGGAUCCUGAGUACGGCGGAACACGAGAAAUUCCGUCGGAAUCCGCGGGGACCAUCCCGCAAGGCUAAAUACUCCCUAGUGACCGAUAGUGAACCAGUACCGUGAGGGAAAGGUGAAAAGCACCCCGGAAGGGGAGUGAAAUAGAUCCUGAAACCGUGUGCCUACAACAAGUCAAAGCUCGUUAAUGAGUGAUGGCGUGCCUUUUGUAGAAUGAACCGGCGAGUUACGAUUGCAUGCGAGGUUAAGUCGAAGAGACGGAGCCGCAGCGAAAGCGAGUCUGAAUAGGGCGAAUGAGUAUGUAGUCGUAGACCCGAAACCAUGUGAUCUACCCAUGUCCAGGUUGAAGGUGCGGUAAAACGCACUGGAGGACCGAACCCACGUACGUUGAAAAGUGCGGGGAUGAGGUGUGGGUAGCGGAGAAAUUCCAAACGAACUUGGAGAUAGCUGGUUCUCUCCGAAAUAGCUUUAGGGCUAGCCUCGGAAUUGAGAAUGAUGGAGGUAGAGCACU
rnacentral:rRNA from 1 species